UUAGCACUUUCACAGGCCCCCCCUCCGGACAGUGGGGAUGGGAUUUGGUAGCUGGUGCUGAAAGAAAACCCUUGAGCGCGUGCUUGCCUGGGACUGUGCCAGUGGCAGCUGUCACUCAGUGGCACAGAC